rnacentral:rRNA from 1 species
GUCAGCAACCAUAUCACUCUGCAGCUCACAACUGGCAACUUUUUGCUGCUAAGCAGGUGUGAGCCUGGUCAGUACCUGGUUGGGGGGCCUCCUGGGAGAAACAAAGGUUGCUGCUGGAA